UGGGGAAUAUUGGACAAUGGGCGAAAGCCUGAUCCAGCCAUGCCGCGUGUGUGAAGAAGGUCUUCGGAUUGUAAAGCACUUUAAGUUGGGAGGAAGGGCAGUAAGCGAAUACCUUGCUGUUUUGACGUUACCGACAGAAUAAGAACCGGCUAACUCUGUGCCAGCAGCCGCGGUAAUACAGAGGGUGCAAGCGUUAAUCGGAAUUACUGGGCGUAAAGCGCGCGUAGGUGGUUCGUUAAGUUGAAUGUGAAAGCCCCGGGCUCAACCUGGGAACUGCAUCCAAAACUGGCGAGCUAUAGUAGGGCAUAGGGUGGUGGAAUUUCCUGUGUAGCGGUGAAAUGCGUAGAUAUAGGAAGGAACACCAGUGGCGAAGGCGACCACCUGGGCUCAUACUGACACUGAGGUGCGAAAGCGUGGGGAGCAAACAGG
rnacentral:rRNA from 1 species